UAAGGAAGUAGCUCUUCCUUAUCGGGUAUGGCCGAAUAAGUCCGCCACGGACUAAGGCACAGGGCACGCAAACCAAGAACCGACUGGUGGAGGAAUGCGUGACUGGUAACGCGUCUACACUGUAGUGGCAUAACGCGUUUGGAGGUAUACAGCAAGGCCUCCUACCCACCUU
rnacentral:ncRNA from 1 species